UAGAGUUCUCACUUUUCUCUAAUUAAAAAAAUUAAAAACAACACUAUAGUAAGACACUUCAUUGUCAGUGCUAGGUCCCUUCUCAUGGGAUCGAAUAGCAGAGUCCUGGCUACGGGUUCAAAUGCCCUGCUGAAAUCCUCAGACAAUUCCAACAUCCACAAAGCUACGAAAGGAGCAAUGCCUCUGAGAACCUUGGAAAGGGGAAAGGGAGCAAUGUCAUCUGCACUCAGUCAUGGAGGAAACAGCUGGACAAGUCAGCACAGGGAGGUGGUGACCGGCAGAGGAGACUUGGAGUUCUUCAGGUACCUGGAGAUCACUGAAUACUGGCCUUCCAGACCCCUUUAUACCAGGUUCGCUAUCCUGAGGGAAAUGGCCUGCCUGAAAGGGACUAAAUGAGUUUGGCCUUCAUAGCCCAGAGAGGCACAGCAGAAAGUGUAGCAGGAGAUCAGUGUCUUUUGCUGUUUGCUGUCUCUCCAUUCUCAAUCUCUGAAAUGCCUUUCUUUAAAAAGCAAAAUAAAAUGAACUAUCUUUAUUGGCUUGGAGUUUUCUAAUGACAGAAAAGAGAAGUAGGAGACCAGAUUGACAAUUGAGGUCAGAGAACCAUCCGUGGGUAGACGCGGCACUGUGAGGCGACGUCAGGGAUCUACUGAUUAGCCGGUCUGGCUGCUGCUCUCCAUCCACACAGGGCAUCUGGCCACCCAUUCCUGCUGAUUAAGGGGCAGUGCUCUGGCAGCUUCUGACAGGUAACUUUGUUGUUUUGUUAUAAGGAGCUUUAUUUCCUCAGGAUGAA
rnacentral:lncRNA from 1 species